rnacentral:lncRNA from 1 species
GUGUGUGUGUUCAUGAACGAGCAGGGAAAGCUCCCAUGGAGCCAAAACCCUAAACUUUAUCAAAAUCUCCAAAUUGAAAGGCUAAACGAAGCCCAAAUUCACAACCGAACUUGAAUUAACGAUCACCUUCACAAGGGGAUCAUAAGGAAUCAUGUCAAGAUGGAUGGGAGCGUUGAAGGCUAACGGGCUACGAAGACUCAAUCAAAUAAGCGAACGCAAAUACAGGCGCGCAAGGUUGUACAGAACGGUGGAUUCUCAUCAUGAAGUGUAAAAGGUUGAAGAUCGAGUCAAGAGAUGGAUUGUACAUGUGGGUGCAUGGUCACGAAAAUUAAUAGUAGUAUGUCCGAUUUUUAUAAAUUUUUGGAAAGCAUUAAUGUAUUUAAUGUAAAAAGUGAUUUAAUGUAAUUCUAAGUAUGUUAGAAUGAAUAUGAUGAAAGAAAAUUUUUA